rnacentral:rRNA from 1 species
GACGAACGCUGGCGGCAUGCCUAACACAUGCAAGUCGAACGGAAAGUUCGGGCUUUGGGGCGCAGGGCUGCGUGCCGCGGGGUAACCUGCACUUGGGUACCGUAUCCCUCCCCGAGGGAGAUCCUAAUACCACUUGAGCUAAUAGGACCUAGGAUUUCCCGCUGUAUGGUGGGGGUUGGAAGGUUUGGUUGGUUGGGGAUGGAAACGCGUUCGAUUAGCUUGUUGGUAGGGUAGUAGCCUACCAAGGCGAUGAUCCAUAGCUGGUCGGAGAGGAUGAUCAGCCACACUGGGACUGAGACACGGCCCAGACUCCUACGGGAGGCAGCAGUGGGGAAUAUUGGACAAGGGGCGAAAGCCUGAUCCAGCAAUGCCGCGUGAGUGAUGAAGGCCUUAGGGUUGUAAAGCUCUUUUACCCGGGAUGAUAAUGACAGUACCGGGAGAAUAAGCUCCGGCUAACUCCGUG